CAGCCGCCGCGGGAAUACGUAGGUGGCAAGCGUUGUCCGGAAUUAUUGGGCGUAAAGGGCUCGCAGGCGGUUUCUUAAGUCUGAUGUGAAAGCCCCCGGCUCAACCGGGGAGGGUCAUUGGAAACUGGGAAACUUGAGUGCAGAAGGGGAGAGUGGAAUUCCACGUGUAGCGGUGAAAUGCGUAGAGAUGUGGAGGAACACCGGUGGCGAAAGCGGCUCUCUGGCUUGUAACUGACGCUGAGGCUCGAAAGCGUGGGGAGCAAACAGGAUUAGAUACCCGGGUAGUCCCUGUCUCUUAUAC
rnacentral:rRNA from 1 species